AGUUUAAUCACGCAUUUUAGAGCCAUGAAAAUGUCGAAAAUAUCCUUUAUAUUUUUUAGAAUGACGUGCAUACCCCUGGCGCCCCCCAAACCCAAGACGACAAUCCUACCAGACGCAAAAACCCCCAAACCCACGAAACUCUCUGCUCUUGUGAAAGCAAAGGGUUACAGGCGCCUACCAGUUCGUUUCUUCUUUCUUCAUCGAAGGUAUCUUUAUUUCGAUUUUUGGAAUUUUAGCACUUCUUUUCAUGAGGGUUUGUUUCAUUUAGGUUCGUUGUUAUUGGGUCUAGUGAUGAUGAUAACAAGGUUGGGUUUAUUUCUGUGGAUAUUUAUUUUUUUAAAUUUACUUGAAUGCCAAAUCUUCUUGUUUUGCUAUGCGAUAAUUGAUUUCUUUUUUUUUUUUUUUUGAUUCUGAAUACUUGGGGAAGUAUGAAUUCGGUGAGAUUUUGUUGUAGGGUUUUAAAUUUCUUGAAAGAGCCUCCUUGUUUACGUGUUUUGAUUAUCAAUUUUCUGGAAUAGUCGUUUAGUUUGUUUCUCUUUUGACAUUUGGGCAAUGCAAAAUGUUUUGGUGAAUAAAUUUUCCAAUGAAGUAAUUCCACCUUUACGUGUGGUGAUGAUUUUUCUGGACUUGGUCCUCUUGCCCUUUAAUUUCAAGGUUUAUGAUGCAGGGACAUUUGCCCAAAUAAUUUCAAGGUUUAAUGGUGGAGAAUAGAAGUAAAAGCAAUGGUGAUGACAAGUAAUGACUGUGUCUAUCUCAAAUUAAUAUCCAUUGACACAGUGGUUGCUAUUUAUAAAGGAAGACAUGGAAAUGAAGUAUUAACUGCUAAUUAAUUUGCUUUAACAUUGUAGAAUUAAUCCAUAUUUCUAAUUCAAUGGCGAGUGGAUCUCUCUUUCUGUC